UACGUAGGGCGCAAGCGUUGUCCGGAAUUAUUGGGCGUAAAGCGCACGUAGGCGGCUUUUCAAGUCGGAUGUGAAAUCCCUCGGCUUAACCAAGGAAGUGCAUCCGAAACUGGAAGGCUUGAGUACUUAAGAGGAUCGCGGAAUUCCCGGUGUAGAGGUGAAAUUCGUAGAUAUCGGGAGGAACACCAGUGGCGAAGGCGGCGAUCUGGGAAGAUACUGACGCUGAGGUGCGAAAGCGUGGGGAGCAAACAGG
rnacentral:rRNA from 1 species